UACGUAGGUCCCGAGCGUUGUCCGGAUUUAUUGGGCGUAAAGCGAGCACAGGUGGUUUAUUAAGUCUGGUGUAAAAGGCAGUGGCUCAACCAUUGUAUGCAUUGGAAACUGGUAGACUUGAGUGCAGGAGAGGAGAGUGGAAUUCCAUGUGUAGCGGUGAAAUGCGUAGAUAUAUGGAGGAACACCGGUGGCGAAAGCGGCCCUCUGGCCUGUAACUGACACUGAGGCUCGAAAGCGUGGGGAGCAAACAGG
rnacentral:rRNA from 1 species